rnacentral:rRNA from 1 species
UACGAAGGGGGCUAGCGUUGCUCGGAAUUACUGGGCGUAAAGCGUGCGCAGGCGGCUUCUCAAGUCAGGGGUGAAAGCCCAGAGCUCAACUCUGGAAUUGCCUUUGAGACUGAGUGGCUUGAGUACGAGAGAGGUGAGUGGAAUUCCCAGUGUAGAGGUGAAAUUCGUAGAUAUUGGGAAGAACACCGGUGGCGAAGGCGGCUCACUGGCUCGUAACUGACGCUCAUGCACGACAGCGUGGGGAUCAAACAGG